UUUAAUGCCAGGGAUGCUUUACCAUCACCAACUCCCAGCCCAGGACCCAAAGUGUGAGCCGAGGGCUUUGGUAGACACCAUCACCCCCUAGUGGUGGCUCCACACUCCCCACUAUAGGCAGAGCUUGGCAUUUCCCAACUUUGCAUGCCCAGCUGUGGCACUGGUCACCUCCAAAUCCCCUGAACUAACAAGCUAAUAGUGAAAGACUCUCCCAACUCGCCAGAGACACACGCAAGGCAGGAUGUUUAAAAGGUUUGGAGAAGGGACGAGGCUGCCUUGGGACCCUGGGAAAGAGAUGGCCAUAAAGGACUCAUAGUAUCAUCCCCUCCCCCCACCGCCACCAUCAACCCUCAUUUCCAGCCAGCCUGGCCCUCCCAGAGCUCAUUGUGCACUCUGUGUUUACACACAAACAGUCGAAGACCAACACAAAUAAAAAGCCCACGUCUCCCUACACAGCUCCUGCUAUACCCGGCCAUCUGGUGACUACCUCGCUAGCCAAAUCCCCAUUGGGAAUGCCUUGAGCUGCCAGUCCAGGGCGCUGGGGAGAGAAAGAGGAGGCAGGAACCCAAUUUCCUGCGUGCAUCCAAAGGCUCAGUGCUGCCAAGGAGGACAGCACGGGCCACUCCAAGGGGCAGGCAGUACCCAGCCACCAGGCUCAGAGGCUGUGCAUCGCAGAAGGCAGAAAGCUCCACGUAUGAGAUGCCAGGAGCAUCUCAAGCUGACACAUAAGUCCCGGGGGAUCGAAGACUUACAGUUCCUCACUCAUCUUGUCCCAGGCCCCCAAGUACCCAUCCCGUUUGAAAGCCAAAGUUAAAAAUGGCAACGAUUGCCAGCUCCAAGAAUUGUGGGGCACAUUUAUAGCUGGCUGGACCGGGUCCUCCACAUUCUUGGGGAAUUGGAAUGCUCCUGGGGUCCUCACUGCCAAGUCAGGCCAUAUCCAAGAACCCGCUUCCCUUGAAAAGCCCGUUUAGGGGGGAUUUCCAACCCUCAUCGCUCAGGGUGCCCAGGAGUCUAGAGAGACCUCAGGGAUAAAGGGAGAAGGGUGGGAGUGCAAGUGGCAGUGAAGGGACACCUUCUGUUUCUGCAGAAGGACCCUUCCCCACGGGGAGGCGGGAGGAGCCCUCAGUGAGCCCAGGGUUAGGUAGCCCCACCUCCCCCUCAUCCCCUUCCUUGGACACGGGCAGCCCCACAGGUGCACGUGGGAAGGGCUACUGGGGUGUGUGUGUAUGAGUGUGUGUGUGUGUGUUCUAUGUGCGUUGCACGCCAGACGCGACGCCGCGGAAAGUCCCCGGGGAACCUGCAAAGCGCUCUCCGCCUCGCCUACCAGAACGCUCCCCACGCUCAGGUUACAGCCAGCCUGACAGCACAGGCACCCUGAGGCUCCAGCUCAGACCGGGAGAGAGGGACUGGCACGCGCUCAAAUCCCCGGAGGCAGCCGGUAGGAAAGAGGGAAUGAGGGGGGGUCACAAAAAUACAUUUUAAAAUACCAGAGCUCCCAGGAGAGUGUUGUCUAGUCCAUUGAUUACUACGUGGGGCGUCUCGGGUGAGCAAGCAGUUAACCUUGGAGGUUCGGGCUGGGAUCCUCACGGCGCUGAAAACCAAGGCCAGGCACCCUGCGAUGGCGAUGCCAGAGCCGGAUCCCGCCAAGCCUAGGACCCCGGGGAAGAAGAGCUGGGAGUCUCUGGGCGAGCCCCUGACGCCUUCUAGGCGCUGUUGUUGGCCAGACUCCGACAACCAAUAAGGCCCCGCGCCCCCAGGAGGGAGGGGAGCGAGCGAGCCGCGAGCGCGGGAGAGCUAAGGGGGAACAACAUUUUUGUAAACGCUCUCCGAGAUAAUUAAGCUAUCAAUUACCCGGGUGGGAAAUCAGCUGCGCUUCCCACAGCUCCACCGAAGGGCCGACUCCUCCGGGAUUCGAGCCGGGAACCAGCAGGCAGCAGGCUGCUGGCGAACUUUCUGAUUAACUUUUCGGUUUGAGCCCCCCACCCUCACCUGUUUCCUCUCCUCUCCUUUCACCUGCCUUUAACUUAUUGUUAUCAGCCCAGUGAGUGAGCUGCGAGGACAAAUCUGCUCUUUGCUGGGAGGGGGAUAGAAAAAGGAAGGUGAUGACGGAGGUAGAGGGAAAACCCAAACGCGGAGACCCCAGUCGUCAGAAAUCGCUCAAGCCUCUCCAUCCCCAUUUCACAGAUGGCCAAAACUGAGGCCCAGAGGAGGAAAGUGACUUGGCCAAGGUCACCCAGCCCGUGUGGAAGCCGAGCUUUUGCGGGCUGGUUUCCACGAGGGCAGAAAUCCUAUUAUUCCUGUUCUCUGCUGCCUGAUGCCAUCCCCUGAGAGAGGACUCCCAUGACUCCGUACUCCAAAGAACUCGCCCAUUCAUCAUAAUUUCCAUAUCGACAUUUUUUCCAUCACAGGUGAAUCACUGAUUGAUGGAUGGAUAGGCUUCUGUCACCCAAAUGCAAGCUUUAAGAGGAAAGGGACUUUACCUGCUUUGUUCCAUGUCGUGUAUCAGCUCUUAGAGCCCACUGGUGUUUAGCUUGGUCAUGUGACCUGCUCUGGCUGGUGAGAUACCUACGACCACUUCCACGAGAGGAAUAUGCUCUGCCUCACCCGCUGGUCCAAGUAGGGUGACAGGCAUGAGAGCAGAGCUGGAUCUAAGUUGUCGUUUGGAGACAAGAGUAGCCAAUCCCGCCUAAGUCAACAGAUUUCCCAGCCCACCUUCUGACAUUUGAAUGAGAAUAAA